CCUUGUAUUUUUCAGAGGUAUAGUUGUACGAAACUGAAUGACAUAUUGGUAUUUGUUUCAUUCAAUCUAAAUUGCAUAUAUAAUCCCAGAAAUAUACUCGUAAAUAGUUCCAUAUUACUUCUAUUCAUCUAUCAAUAAACCCAUGAUAAUGUCGGGCAAUUUCCAUCAACGACAGGCAUUUCACUGUCUUGCUCCCCUAAUUUUUCUUCCCGUAUUCCUAUGAUUUUU